UCAAUGCAACAAUGACGAAGUACCUGCUUGCUGGAGAUUCAGGGAAGCAAUGUAUAAGUUGACUUGCAUCAGGGAAGCAGUGUAUAAGUUGACGGCGACAAUCUUGAAGUAGUAAAGGAGUUUUGCUAUCUCGGGACGGUCGUUACUUCGGACAACGACAUCAGCAGCGAAAUCCGGAUACGCAUUGUUCAGGGGAAUCGGGCAUACUAUGGGCUUCACCGACUGCUGAGAUCUAGAAGACUUCGAGCCCACACGAAAUGUUAGAUAUAUUGCACAUUGAUUCGCCCGGUGAUCCUCCAUGGACAAGACUCCUGGAUCGUCCGAUCGGAAGAGGCAAACGCUCUGGGCGUGUUUGAGCGACGUAUCCUCCGGACCAUCUUUGGCAGUGUGUUAGCGCAUGGAGCGUGGAGGAGAAGGAUGAACUACGAGCUUGCUGAGCUGUACGGCGAACUGAGCAUCCUGACCGUGGUGAAGACUGGCAGGAUACGAUGGCUGGGGCAUGUCAUGAGGAUGCCGGACUCAUACCCCACCAAGAGGGUGUUCGACAGCGAUCUCCAGUUUGGCAUAAGGGCAGGGGAGCACAGCGAACUCGAUGGCGUGACCGGGCCAUGUCACGUCGACGUGCUCUAUCGUGUGCAGUCCAACAAGAGCGACAGAGAAAAUCAAGAUUGGAUAAAAUUGCACAUUGUGGCUUGCAAAUUAAGCUGUAUUUAUAAUGUAUUACCAGCAAUCAAAAUCGUCGGAUGUCAAAAUUGGGAAUAAUAAUGGUUGAGGAUUGUUCGCUUAUUUGUCUCAUAUUAAUAUCGAAUUCUUGGCCAAUUUUGCCAACAAAGGCAAAUACGAGUAAAUUUGUCUUCUUUGGUUGUAAAAAAUACUGCGCAUGCAUAAAAAAUACUAUGUACGAGUCGAUCUAUACAGCUGAUGUAUACAGUUCCCAUUACACAAUCGAUUCGUCAGCUAAAUAAUGUACUAUAAGAUCCAUUUAGAAAUUCUAUUCUUCAAGCUCACGCGUCAGCAGAUUCUGUCAAACUGCCAGUACUACAUUAUUGCAGCAGACCCCAACCUGUCCAUGCGCUUCAACAGCUUUUCUAGCAGCAGGAGCAGCGGAUUCGGAAGUAAUGAUGAACUUGCAUAACUAUUAAUGUUUUUCACUAUUUGAUAUUUUUUAAGAGUUUGAAACGAUUUUUCUUUGUUCUUCGAAAAUCGUCUGGACAGCGAUUAAUUUCAAUACGAGAUGCGACAUAAAUACUACAGGCCAUUUCAAAAUCAAUAGAUAACAGAGAUAAUCAAUAUAGAUAGUGAAAAACUUGUUACCUAGUACUUAGAAGAGUAGAUUAAGUAAUAUUAGAUAACAAAGCUAUAUGCAAUUUUAUAAUUUCGACUGAGGUUAAAAGAUGCUUGGUAGACGAGGUAAAGUAGUAACUGAAUUUUUUUUAGUAGUAGUCGCGUAUGAAACAGUUACACAAAGCGAAUCAAGAAAUGUUUUAAUAGUUUGGAAUAGCUCCCAAUUAAUGUAC